UGGGGAAUAUUGGACAAUGGGCGCAAGCCUGAUCCAGCCAUACCGCGUGGGUGAAGAAGGCCUUCGGGUUGUAAAGCCCUUUUGUUGGGAAAGAAAUCCAGCUGGUUAAUACCCGGUUGGGAUGACGGUACCCAAAGAAUAAGCACCGGCUAACUUCGUGCCAGCAGCCGCGGUAAUACGAAGGGUGCAAGCGUUACUCGGAAUUACUGGGCGUAAAGCGUGCGUAGGUGGUCGUUUAAGUCCGUUGUGAAAGCCCUGGGCUCAACCUGGGAACUGCAGUGGAUACUGGACGACUAGAGUGUGGUAGAGGGUAGCGGAAUUCCUGGUGUAGCAGUGAAAUGCGUAGAGAUCAGGAGGAACAUCCAUGGCGAAGGCAGCUACCUGGACCAACACUGACACUGAGGCACGAAAGCGUGGGGAGCAAACA
rnacentral:rRNA from 1 species